GGGGGGAGUGGAAGGAAGGAAGAAAACAACAAGGUCAGAAGAAGGGAAGGAAAGGGAAGGCAGGUUGGUAAAGGGUUUACCUGGAAGGACAGGGUUGUUGCGAGAAGAAGAAAUAGUUAACAUGUUUCCUAAACCAAAGGAAAAAUACAAGGAGGCUCUUCCUGGCGUUUAGGAGGGCGCCUGAGAGAAAUCUCGCAGCUAUUCGCCAUGGAGCCUGCAGUGCGCAAAGGGCGCCACCGGAGGGCAGCAAAGAGCAAGGCAGCAGCAGGCGCUUCAGUGGCUGCAGCAGCAGGGCCCCUUUUGGACUACAAUUCCCAUCAGCCCCUGGGAAAACAUGACCGCCCCCGCCCCUGAGGGACAGAGGAUGAUGGGGAUUUCAUUCCAAAGCAUUUUGAAGGGCUCCAGGGCGCAGAAAGACUGGCUUAGCGACCUCCCCCAAAAUUCUGCAUCGUCUGGGGAUGAUGGGAUUAAUAAUAAUAAUAAUAAUAAUAAUAAUAAUAAUAAUAAUAAUAAUAAUGUAUUUUAUUUUUAUUCCCAAAAAAGGGACCCAAGGUGGCUUGCAAUAGGAAAGCACAUUAAAACCCUGUUUUUAGGUGGCUAAUAAAGAAGAUUCCUAAUACAAGGGCCCCCUCUUGUGGAUACUGAGGGCGCUGCAGCCUCUAGAUCGACCUCGAGAUCGAUCCCUCCCUUCCCUCCUAGGGCUCCCCUGAAAGGACCAUUGGGCUCCUAUAUUAUUAUGUAUGUGUGUGUAUAUGUGUAUGUAUAUAGAGACAUAUAAUUAUACACACACACACAUAUAUUGUAUUUUAAGAGGGGGAUUGAGGGUUUUGGAAUACAUGUUUUUUAA